rnacentral:tRNA from 1 species
GCCUGGCUGGCUCAGUUGUUGGAGUGUGCGACUCUUGAUCUCAGGGUUGUGGGUUCAAGCCCCAUGUUGGAUA